AAUCAACGCUGGCGGCGUGCCUCAGACAUGCAAGUCGAACGCGAAAGUCCCCUUCGGGGGGCUAGUAGAGUGGCGGACGGCUGAGUAACGCGUAGGUGACCUGCCCCGAAGUGGGGAAUAACUGCCCGAAAGGGUGGCUAAUACCGCAUGUGGUGGUGCCUUCACUGGCACCAGUAAAGCCGCAAGGCGCUUCGGGAGGGGCCUGCGUCCGAUUAGCUCGUUGGUGGGGUAACGGCUCACCAAGGCGACGAUCGGUAGGUGGUCUGAGAGGACGAUCACCCAGACUGGGACUGAGACACGGCCCAGACUCCUACGGGAGGCAGCAGUCGGGAAUUUUGCGCAAUGGACGAAAGUCUGACGCAGCAACGCCGCGUGAGGGAUGACGGCCUUCGGGUUGUAAACCUCUUUUGUCAGGGAAGAUGAUGACGGUACCUGGCGAAUAAGUCACGGCUAACUACGUGC
rnacentral:rRNA from 1 species